rnacentral:rRNA from 1 species
CCGCAGUGAAUAGGCCCAAGCAACUGUUUAUCAAAAACACAGCUCUCUGCUAAAUCGUAAGAUGAUGUAUAGGGGGUGACGCCUGCCCGGUGCUGGAAGGUUAAGAGGAGUGCUUAGCGUAAGCGAAGGUAUGAAUUGAAGCCCCAGUAAACGGCGGCCGUAACUAUAACGGUCCUAAGGUAGCGAAAUUCCUUGUCGGGUAAGUUCCGACCCGCACGAAAGGCGUAAUGAUUUGGGCACUGUCUCAACGAGAGACUCGGUGAAAUUUUAGUACCUGUGAAGAUGCAGGUUACCCGCGACAGGAC